ACUGAGCAAGAUGGCCACCUCCUGGUGGUAAGUCUCGCUCCUGGAGUUCCCAUCUUGACCCUACAGCGGGACAUUUUGCCGCCACCUCUUUGUGUGUUGGGAAGAUGACGUCCUUUCUGCUCGUCCUGCUUCUCUGAUUGAUCUGUGUCUCUGGAGAUCCCUUUGCUCAGCCAUCAGAUCAAGCAGGCAUCCAUGGUUCAGAAUGCAGGUGAUGACCUGGGCAAGAGCUCACCAGUAAGGAGCAAAGGGGCCCGCCUGCCACUCUUAAGCAGAGCGCCUGCUGAAUCAGGAUUUCCAAGGCUCCGGCUGAGUGCCUGGCUGGGGGCUGUGUGUGCAGAUGCCACAAGAUGGACAAGACUGAGGACGCAGAUUUCCUACAACAGCAGACUUCUGAUGCCCAGGCCUCAGUUCUGAACUCUGGAGGCUACAACCUGGCCUGCUUAUAGACGGUGGACCAAAUGAAGAUGAGGAAACUGAAGCAACUGUUCAAGAAGAGGAUAUAAAAAGGGACAGGCAUUGAUGAUGAUAUCAGAGCUUCUUCCUGGGGAAUCUCAGCCUCACAUGAUGGAGUAUGACUAAAGGAAAAAAAUAAGGCUCUUCACAUACUUUCUUGGCAGUCUGUGAGGGUCAGGGUUGAUUUUGUGUCCCUAAAAUGUCACAUGAAGUUCAUAGGCACUUCCAAAGGGGCAGUCUAGCAAGUUAAAGAGUAGAUGUGGGGCUGUGUGGAGUCCAUUGUUUGGGUAAUCUUUUUCAAACAGUAGGAAUAUACCAGCUUGUAAAGAUUUGCCCACUUAGCUUCAAGUCUCUCUGAACACAUUUCCCCCCGCUCUAUGAAUAGAUGAAGACAUACAAAUGGAACUCUUGAUAUUCUUAAGUGAAAAACAUGAUAUGGAAUAGCAGAUAAAUACAAACAAUUUCUUAUCCAGCAAAGAGCUCCAGAAAUAUUUUGACUUCAUUUAAAACAGUUAUAUAAAUAUUUGCUGGUGGAAUUUUUUUCUAAACCAAAUACCCUGAAGGAUUUUAGUUGUCUAUCUACAACUUUUUGCUUGUGGAAAAUGUUGACUUCCUGGUUACUUUGACUUGUGUUCACCUGAAAUUUUGCUUUUGCAGUAGUUUUUCUUAUGAUUUAGUGGCAUUGCCUGUCCAGUGACAGGAAGUGGUGUUCUUAUUGGGACUAAUAUGUGUUAUGGCCCUAGAACCAGCAGAAGCCACUCCUGCUUUUUUCCACACUCUUCUUUCUAUAGAAGAGAAGGGAAUGAGGAUCCCACAUGGCAUUCACUGCCUUGAGCAUACUGAGAUUUCUUUGCAAAAGGAGAAACAGCACCAGCAACUAAGCAUUUUAUCCCAUUUUAUUUUACUUCUUCUAUGAUUCUUUGCCACUUAGCAAUGC
rnacentral:lncRNA from 1 species